GCGCUCGUAGCUCAGCUGGACAGAGCGUCUGACUACGAAUCAGAAGGCCGCAGGUUCGAGUCCUGCCGAGCGCG
rnacentral:tRNA from 1 species